AGCGAGCGGCGCGCAGGAGAACCAGCGCGGGGGCAAAGCCGCCCUGCCCAGUGCCCAUGCCGUGGAGAUGCUCACGACGGGGCCAGCUCCUGCGCGUCCGUUCUCCGACAUGGAAGAACAAGAUAUGGAAGCUACCUCUGGAUUCUGACCCUUUCGUGGUCUUCUCCCUCCCGACUCCUCGGUUGGCAGCUUUCUGCGGGCUUCACAAUUCCCUGGACCUCUGCAACAUUGUGAAAACGAAGGAAACUUCUGGUAACUGGAGUACAGGUAGGAGAUUCUACUUUCCCCUUGCCCUUUCUCCCUAUGCAAAAAAAAUUGUAAUUAUUUUUCACCGCUCUCUCUCACCCCCCCACCAACAACAAGAAUGAGGUUCUUGUGAUUAUUUUCUGUCCGGUUGUUUGAGAAUGCAUUUCUUCUUUUAAUUCCUUCCUCCAAAUUCAUGAGGACUCUAGAAGCGGUCCCUGUUUCAUCUAUUUCACUGAUGAAGCAGAGUUAUGCUGACAAGAUGCCUAGAGUUAGUUCCGUGGGUAAGAGGAUGAAACAAGAGAAGCAACCCAAAGCUUGGUCAUGGUAUCUUAAAGACUGACCACUUUAUUCUAGCACUGGCUUUGUGGAUGUAGUUCACUUCUUUGGGUUUAGAACCGCAACAACACAGACUGUAUCAAUUUACUUUAGCACAAGACCUAGGCAUGUCUUUGGCAAUGAGUGAUGUGAGCCACAAAGCUGAAAUAGAUGCCUCUGAGUAAAGGAAGGAAGGAAGGAAGGAAGGAAGGAAGGAAGGAAGGAGCUGAUAAUGGAUAAGAGGAAGGAAGGAAGGAGCUGAUGCUGGAUAAGAGGAAGGAAGGAAGGAAGGAUUGUCCAAGAAUGAAUUGGAGAGUGUAUUUUGACAAGAGGAUAAUCUGUAGUCAUGCAGAUUAGGGAGUUGGUAGAGAAUGGGAAAAUGGAUUGAUUUCAUUGACAGACAUGGUGUUGCUGAUAAGCAAACACUUUUGAAUGUCAUUGUUUUUAGUGGAACAAUGCUAUGCAGUGAGAUUCUGUGUAAGGAGAAGUAAAUACUGUUCAGCUGAUGGGAGUUUUUCCUUGGUAAAUACUAGAGCUUGGACAUGUUGCUUUUUAAGAUUACGAUUUCCCAAAGCCAACCUGGUUGGCUGGGGGAUUUCAAGCGGGGGCAUAGUUCCAAAAAGUUGCAUUUCCAUCCUUUGGUAAAUAUAUAUUAGGACGGUAACACUUUUGAAGUGCUGGGUGAGAUCUGUUUCCUUGGCAUAUCAUAGCCUUUCUGGUUUCCUCACAGUCUAAGGGAUUGCAACUCCCAGAACUCCACAGCCGACUAGAAGUUGGUAACCUGUACAUCUGGAGGGUACUAGGUUG
rnacentral:lncRNA from 1 species